UACUCGAGUGGCGAACGGGUGAGUAACACGUGGGUGAUCUGCCCUGCGCUUCGGGAUAAGCUUGGGAAACUGGGUCUAAUACCGGAUAGGAGCCAUCCUUAGUGUGGUGGUUGGAAAGUUUUUUCGGUGUAGGAUGAGCUCGCGGCCUAUCAGCUUGUUGGUGGGGUAAUGGCCUACCAAGGCGGCGACGGGUAGCCGGCCUGAGAGGGUGUACGGCCACAUUGGGACUGAGAUACGGCCCAGACUCCUACGGGAGGCAGCAGUGGGGAAUAUUGCACAAUGGGCGCAAGCCUGAUGCAGCGACGCCGCGUGGGGGAUGAAGGCCUUCGGGUUGUAAACUCCUUUCGCUAGGGACGAAGCUUUGUUGUGACGGUACCUAGAUAAGAAGCACCGGCUAACUACGUGCCAGCAGCCGCGGUAAUACGUAGGGUGCGAGCGUUGUCCGGAAUUACUGGGCGUAAAGGGCUCGUAGGUGGUUUGUCGCGUCGUCUGUGAAAUUCUGGGGCUUAACUCCGGGCGUGCAGGCGAUACGGGCAUAACUUGAGUGCUGUAGGGGUAACUGGAAUUCCUGGUGUAGCGGUGAAAUGCGCAGAUAUCAGGAGGAACACCGAUGGCGAAGGCAGGUUACUGGGCAGUUAC
rnacentral:rRNA from 1 species